GGUUGAUAAAAACAAAUCAGUCAGGGGGAUCUUUGGAUACAUGUCACCGGAGCAUAUGGAUUCUGGUGAUGCAACAACAAUGGCUGAUGUUUAUAGCUUUGGUGUAGUUCUGCUUGAGAUAGUUAGUGGUCAGAUGGCAGUAGAUUUCCGCCGGCCUGAGGCUUUGUUGGUUAAUCGAGUUCAUGAAUUCGAGGUGCAAAAAAGGCCAUACGAACAACUUGCAGAUUGGAGGUUGAAUGGAAACUUCAACACCAGGGAACUGAUCAGGCUAGUCAAAUUAGGAAUGGCUUGCACUAGAUACGAUCCUGAAUCAAGACCGAGCAUGAGGCAGAUAGUGAACAUUCUCGAUGGACAUGAUCAAUGGUUAAUGGAAAAUGGACGAAAGAAGGAGAGCCCGGAAGAAUGGAGAACAAGAAAUGCUUCUGCUUUGUCCCUCGUAAGGAGAAUCCAAGCUCUUGGUAUACAAUGAUCAUCGCGUAAGAUGUGAAGUAGUUACAUGUAGAUAGAAAUGAAAAUGAAGCUUUAUAUCUCAAUGUGUUUGUUCUUCUAUGUAUUCAUGGUAUGACUAUGUUUCUUCAGCAGAACAUUUGUGUAAUUUAGUGUGGGCAACUUUGAUAGCAU
rnacentral:misc_RNA from 1 species